GGAGAGAUGUCUGAGUGGUUGAAGGAGACGGUCUCGAAAACCGUUAUAGCGGGUAACUGCUAUCCAGGGUUCGAAUCCCUGUCUCUCCG
rnacentral:tRNA from 1 species